GCGUCGGUGGUGCAACGAUUAAGCACAUACUCCCGGAAAUAUUAAAGUCUGGGUUCAAAUCCCGGCUGUCGCG